UACGAAGGGGGCUAGCGUUGCUCGGAAUCACUGGGCGUAAAGGGUGCGUAGGCGGGUCUUUAAGUCAGGGGUGAAAUCCUGGAGCUCAACUCCAGAACUGCCUUUGAUACUGGGGAUCUCGAGUCCGGGAGAGGUGAGUGGAACUCCGAGUGUAGAGGUGAAAUUCGUAGAUAUUCGGAAGAACACCAGUGGCGAAGGCGGCUCACUGGCCCGGUACUGACGCUGAGGUGCGAAAGCGUAGGGAGCAAACAGG
rnacentral:rRNA from 1 species